ensembl:snRNA U6 U6 spliceosomal RNA
GUGCUCACUUUGGCAGCACAUAUACUAAAAUUGGAACAAUACAAAGAUUACCAUGGCCUCUGAGCAAGGAUAACAUGAAUCUGUGAAGCGUUCCUUACUUUU